CCUACGGGUGGCAGCAGUGAGGAAUAUUGGUCAAUGGACGAGAGUCUGAACCAGCCAAGUAGCGUGAAGGAUGACUGCCCUAUGGGUUGUAAACUUCUUUUAUAAAGGAAUAAAACGAGGCACGUGUGCCUUUUUGCAUGUACUUUAUGAAUAAGGAUCGGCUAACUCCGUGCCAGCAGCCGCGGUAAUACGGAGGAUCCGAGCGUUAUCCGGAUUUAUUGGGUUUAAAGGGAGCGUAGAUGGGUUGUUAAGUCAGUUGUGAAAGUUUGCGGCUUAACCGUAAAAUUGCAAUUGAUACGGGCAGUCUUGAGUACAGUUGAGGUAGGCGGAAUUCGGGGUGUAGCGGGGAAAGGCUUGGAUAUCACAAAAAACCCCAAUUGCGAAGGCAGCUUACAAAA
rnacentral:rRNA from 1 species